CGGGAAGGCAGGAGCGAAAGGGACAUGGCUGAGGCCGGCUGAGGGAUGGCGGCCCCCCCCCAGCCUCACCACGAGAGGCUCCUGCCGUGCAGCCCAGAGCCGAGCCCGCUGGAGGUGGAGACAUCGUCCGCACAGAGGGAGAACAAGCAGGGGGAGCAGCGGAGGGAGAG